UGGCGAAGGUCCCAGCAGAGAGGGUUUUUUGAUCUCCAGCGCGUUGAGACCUCUCUAACACUUUUAAUGGUUUUUCUCCUUCGCAUAUGGAUUUUUGCCGAUUCGUACAACGCCGGAGAGGUUUCUCUCAUGUUUUCUCGGCGUUUCAAAAUUCGGCUAUAUUUCC